UCCCUGGUGGUCCAGUGGCUAAGACUCUGUGCUUCCAACUCAGGGGGCCUAGGUUCAAUCCCUCGUCAGGGAA
rfam:Ovis aries breed Texel chromosome 7, whole genome shotgun sequence.